GUCAAGGUGGUGGAGUGGUUAACACGUUCGCCUGCUAUAUCCUUAGCAGCCCAGCGGAUGCCUUCGGGCGCGCAGGUUCGAAUCCUGUCCUUGACG